rnacentral:rRNA from 1 species
UACGUAGGGCGCAAGCGUUAUCCGGAUUUAUUGGGCGUAAAGAGCUCGUAGGCGGCUCGUCGCGUCGACCGUGAAAACCCGCGGCUUAACUGCGGGCUUGCGGUUGAUACGGGCGGGCUAGAGUUCGGUAGGGGAGACUGGAAUUCCUGGUGUAGCGGUGAAAUGCGCAGAUAUCAGGAGGAACACCGGUGGCGAAGGCGGGUCUCUGGGCCGAUACUGACGCUGAGGAGCGAAAGCGUGGGGAGCGAACAGG